rnacentral:rRNA from 1 species
UACGUAGGCAGCAAGCGUUGUUCGGAAUUACUGGGCGUAAAGGGUGCGUAGGCGGCUUUUUUAAGUUUGGUGUGAAAUCUCCCGGCUCAACUGGGAGGGUGCGCCGAAUACUGAGAAGCUAGAGUGUGGGAGAGGAAAGUGGAAUUCCUGGUGUAGCGGUGAAAUGCGUAGAUAUCAGGAGGAACACCGGUGGUGUAAACGCUUUCUGGACCAUAACUGACGUGAGGCACGAAAAGCGUGGGUAGCAAAACAGG